GACUUAAGCUAUAUGAUUCAGUCUCUCAGUGCCUCUGUAUUUUCACCUUAAAGCAAGAAUAAUACAUUUUAUCAUACCUAACUCAAGCAGUACACAAAGUAAUACAUUUUAUUACUACCUAACUCAAGCAGUAUACCAAGUAAAUUAAUAGUAAAUGUAGUAUCUCAAGAAUUUAGUAUCUGUCUUUUAUUUUUCAUCACUGAGAAUAGACCAUAAUUAGAACAAUUAAUCUUGAUUAUAGAGAGGAAAGAAAAAAGUAAAAUGCCUAGAAUAGUAUAUUUAGAAUUAUUUAACUCUAAUGAACUUUGAAAAUCUUACGGAAAAACCCAUAUGGUGUGUGUAAGUGCAAAUACAUGGAAAAAUUCAGAUGAGGAAUCUAUUUCUUUUCAUGUUUUAUAAUGCCAAGAGCUAAUACAGUGCUCGUUCUGAAAUCUCAUCUGUCAUACUGUGUUCUGUAAAGUGACAGAACAUGAUGUAACAUAUUGAUGAGACCCAACGUGACACAAAGCAUGGUUUGUGGUCUGCGUGUAGGUAUAGAUAAUUAGGAAAACUCUGGGAAAGAGACUUUUAGAAAGGUUUAAUGAAGAAUUAUAAUAGAUAAAUAAGAGGUAAGACUGAGUAUACCUUUUUAAAUAAAAUAAGACACAUAGGAUAUUGGAUGUUAUCCUCCUGACCCCCAAAUUUUAUAAUUCUGUUUGGCAUAUAACCUUUACAUAUGAUUAAGAUAGCAAACCUUAUACCCACAGCAUUCCCUUGUAAGAGGAGAAUAUGGAGAUCCAAAGUACACACAGUACAGCUUGCCCACUGAGAAUAGGCAGUGUCCCAGAACAUGGCUCAUGAGUCAGCUCCUUUCUAAACUCCUGAGCACUGCUGGAUAGAAAAUAAAGAUUUUUUACAAUUAAUUUUAAUGAUUAAAAAUAUGACAAUGCAGACAUUUAGAAAGUAAUUGAACAGGCAAUUUGUGGCAGUAUAAAUAUUGUAAACAUACAAAACAAAACAAAACAAAAAACAAUUCCCAUAUGGUACCUUUCAAAUAAGAUAUUUAAUUAAAAUAGCC
rnacentral:lncRNA from 1 species